rnacentral:tRNA from 1 species
UUAAUGUGGCAGAAUAGUGCAAUAGACUUAAACCCUAUAAAUAAAUAAUUAAAUAUUUCAUUAAAAA